rnacentral:rRNA from 1 species
CAAAUGCUAUUUGCAUUAAAAGUUUUUAGUGUAAAAUCGACUUUGUCGAAUAAAAUUCUGGGUAGAAUUAUGAUAAUGACAUUACCUACUUAUAAGUCUUGACCAAAUUACGUGCCAGCAGUCGCGGUAAUACGUAGAAGACAAGUGUUAUUCAUCUUUAAUAGGUUUAAAGGGUACUUAGACGGUAAAUAAAGCCUUAAAAAGGUACUAGUUUGCUAGAGUUUUAUAUGAAGGAGUUUUAAAGUACUACUGGUGUAGAGAUGAAAUUCAGUUAUACCUUACAUGGCACAGGUUAAGGCGAAAGCAUCUUUUUAUGUAAAAACUGACGUUGAAGGACGAAGGCUUUGUGUCUCGAACAGGAUUAGAUACCCUAGUAGUCUAAGCAGAAAAUGAUGAAUGUCAUAGAUUAGAUCUAAUUUGAUCUGUAAAUGAAAGUGUAAGCAUUCCACCUCAAGAGUAAUUUGGCAACAUUGGAACUGAAAUCAUUAGACCGUUUCUGAAACCAGUAGUGAAGUAUGUUGUUUAAUUUGACGACACGCAAAAAACCUUACCACAAUUUGAAUAGAUAUAUUUUAUCAUACAAGCGUUGCACGGCUGUCUUCAGUUAAUGUCGUGAGACUUUGGUUAGUUCCAUAAAAUUAACGUAAACCCUUACUUUAAUUUUAUAUAAAGUAGUUCACCGCUAUAUGGAUGUGAUAAUAGGAUCAAGACAAGUCANUCAGACCUAAAUAUUG